UCAAAUCACCAAAACUAUCUCUUCUCUCUUCUUGGAGAGUUUUCCGGCCGCGAAGACCGCAUUAGUCGGUAGUGGCCGCCGCUCGUCGGCGUCAGAGAGGGGAGAUGAGGGCAUCGUUCGAAGGGUCUUGACCUCCCUAGCAAGGAUUCGGGCUCCGUUUCGCUCCAAAGUGAUUAAAUCUGCAUAGAUCUGGAGUGAAGUUUUGAAUCCCUCCCUUUUUUUGAUCUGGUGUUGCAUGUGAUGGUUUCCGGUGAAGCUACAAAGGGAAAUGAGUGUCCUAGCUCAAGCCUUUCACGUCCCUUUAUCAUCUUUUUUAAGCCUUUCGACUUGGACAGUGAGCGGCGGCGCAUGGAAUGACUCGACGGCGACAGGGUUAGGAUGAAACCCUAAUCUUGAUGAGUGAAUAGCAGCUGGACUUGGUACAUACAAGCUUCCAUUGGGCCUACUCGGUCACUUGAAUUGGGGUUGUAUUUGGGUAUUGUAUGUAUUUUGGCCUGUAAAAAUGUAAUAAUAUUAGUAAAUAUACAUAAUAAUAAUAA